rnacentral:lncRNA from 13 species
AUGUCACUGAAACUGCGUGGUACAUUACCGAAGACCAAAGACCAAAUCCAUGACCAUUUACUCAUCUUUCAAGACUCAGAAGCCAGCUCUGGUACCAAGCCUUUUCUGAUCUCCCAGAUGAAUAACCAACUCAAGGAGAUGAGGACAUUGGCCAAAGCCACACAACUAGUCAGCCCCUCUCCUGAAAUAAAAGAAUGGAGUCAGCACACCUGAACGACAUGAACUGAAUUCAGAUAUUGUCAUUUCCAAAGGACAGUUGGGGAUGCUAUACCUGGAAGAAGAGGACUGAGAACUGGGCAGACCUCAAACAACGAUGUCUAAUACAGACUGCAAAAUAAGUAUUAGGAAAGUAAAUCAUGUUUUAUUUUGUUUUUUUUUAAUUUGUAAAACUCCGGGGGAGAACAGGAUCUCACUCUGGUCUCACACCCAGGCUGGAGUGCAGUGACACAGUUUUAGCUUGCUGCAGCCAUGGUGUCUGGAGCUCAAGUGAUCCUGUCUCCUCAGCCUUCCAAAGUGCUGGGAUUACAGCCAUGAGCCACCGUGCCUGGCCAUCAUGACUCCUUUUCAAGCUUAUUUGUAUUAAUAAAGCCUAUUUUAUUCCACCA